CGUAGGGUCCAAGCGUUAUCCGGAAUCACUGGGCGUAAAGCGUGCGUAGGUGGCGUGUUAAGUGAGAUGUUAAAUCGUGUGGCUCAACCAUAUCGAUGCAUCUCAUACUGGCAUGCUAGAGGACGGCAGAGGCAAGUGGAAUUGGUAGUGUAGCAGUGAAAUGCGUAGAUAUUACCAGGAACACCAAUGGCGAAGGCAGCUUGCUGGGCCACUCCUGACACUGAGGUACGAAAGCGUGGGGAGCGAACAGGAUUAGAUACCCUGGUAGUCCACGCCGUAAACGAUGCAUACUAGACGUAUGGGGUAUCGACCCCCUGUGCGUCGAAGCUAACGCGAUAAGUAUGCCGCCUGGGAAGUACGGCCGCAAGGCUA
rnacentral:rRNA from 1 species